rnacentral:rRNA from 1 species
UACGUAGGGUCCAAGCGUUAUCCGGAAUCACUGGGCGUAAAGCGCGUGUAGGCGGCCUGCUAAGUCCGGUGUGAAAGUCACAGGCUCAACCUGUGAAUGCCGCUGGAAACUGUCUGGCUUGAGUCCGGAAGGGGCGAGUGGAAUUCCUGGUGUAGCGGUGAAAUGCGCAGAUAUCAGGAGGAACACCAAUGGCGAAGGCAGCUCGCUGGAACGGUACUGACGCUGAGGCGCGAAAGCGUGGGGAGCGAACAGG